CAGAGUUGCAAAACUCCCUAAACCAUUGUGAAUCUACCCCUAAACAGUUGCUUCGGCGGCGCCCGGACAGGCCCGCCGGAGACCACUAAACUCUUGUUUUUUUAACACUGGCCUCUCUGAGUUUACUGUACUGUAACAAGUCA
rnacentral:misc_RNA from 1 species